rnacentral:lncRNA from 1 species
UCCCGCUGGUCUCCGCCGUCGCCUUCCUCCCCAUCGUCUCGUCACCGGCGUCGGCGUUCCACUCCGAUCUCCCUCAGGUGCUUUCCUUCCCAUAGAUCUCUGAAAAAGAGAGAAAUGAAAAGAAGAAAAAAGGGAAAGAAAAAAAAGACUUACCCAACACAAAACCCCAGCCACCGUCUAAGCUUCCUAUUCGGCCACUCCAAGCCUCCCACCCGGUUGGGACUCAUGAAGAUGGAAAAACUGAAGGGAAAACUGGGGAAAACAUAGGAAAAAUGAACGAAAACAAAGGAAAGACGGAAAAAGAGAAAGAAAUGAAAAGAAAAAUAAGCCAAAAAAAAAAAUCAAUCUAUGUAGGACGAGGUAAGAGUUUUUCGUCUUUCCCUUCUUUUCAUUGAUUUUCUUAUGUUCCCUAUGCUUGAGAAUAAACCCUAAUCGGAACCUGAGAAACCCUUCCCAUCUCCCUUAGGUGGUCUCCUUCCCGCAGAUCUCCGAAAAGGAGAAAGAAAUGCAAAAAAAUGAAGAGAAGAAAAAAAAAAGAUCAAUCUAUGUGGAAAAGGUCUUACCUUUUAAUUUUUACCGUCUUUCCUUUAUUUUUGUUGAUUUUUCUUUCAUGUUUUCCCCUGGUUCUUCCCCGUUUUUCCUGGUCUCAGGAGUCUCAAUCGGGUGGGACCGCGGGAGGAUGGUUGUGAUGUUUGCCUCCUUGCCAGCAUGUUUAACUUCUUAUCAGCUCACAUCUAUUUUAUUAAUUUGAGGAAUAUGGUGCUUUGAUAUAUGUAGAUUUGAUGCCUGACCAAAUAGGUUGUGUUUGGAGUCCUUUAAUGGAGUUGAAGCUUUUUCUGAAUGCUUUUCAGCAUAUAAAAGAUGAGGAUAUGAAAAUCAGGUCUCAUUGUGUUGCUUGCAGCAAUAAACUAUUGAACCUGUAAUUGCUUACUUAGGAUAUUACUAAGGUGUAAGGUGGUUAGGCUGUUAGGCUAACCAAAAAUCAAGACAUCAAAUCUUCAGACCCUACGACUAUGUACAUAUAUUUGGUUUGGAUGAUUGAUAGGUAUCCGAGGAUAAAUCUCAAACUCACUCCAAAUUUGAAUGAAUUUUAAUUUUAAAUUUCAAAUCUAUCCUAAACUUUAUAAGAUACUGCUAACGAAUCCUAUUAAAGUUCGGGAUGGAUCAAGUAUCUGAAAAAAAUAUGCUCAACUACUGUUAUAACAUUAGAUGGGGGAUUAGUCCAUUGUAAUUUUGGACCUGUGUAUCGUAUUUUAACACGAUUUUUUUAAAAAUUUUUUAAAUGGAUUUUAAAAAAUUAUGUUCAAACAUAUAAAAUAUCUGGAUUUAUUAAUUAAGGAUGAAAAAUUAUAAAAUUUAAAAAAUAAAGUUGAUUGUAUUUAUUGGAUAAUACUAAUUCAUUAAAAAAAGAUUUUUUUUGAGUUUUUAAGAUUAAUUUUAAGAUUCUAUAUUAAAACAUUUAGAAAUAUUUAAAUUUAUUGUAUAUGGUUUGUAAAACAUCCAAAAAUCAUCAUAAAUAAAGUUGAUAGUUUCAAUUAUAUAAAAUAGAUAUAUACAUAUUAUUUGGUUUAAGAAAUUAAUAAUUAAAAAAAUAAUAAAAAAUUAUGGAUUAUAUUUGUGGAUUGAUUUUAAGAUUUAAUAUUUAAUAAUAAAUAAUUUGUUUAUGGGAUUGGGUUUGCUCGAGACAUGUUGGGCUAUAUUGGUUAAGUAUUAUCCUACAAAUUAGACUUGAAAAUCAAUGGCCAAGGUUAGAUUAAAAUAUGGAGUUUUUUUAUUUUUUUGAGUUGAGUUUGAGUAUAUUGUUGGUUCAACUAGGAGUUGGUUUAGGAUUAGAUUGAUAAUAUUUCAAGUGCGGAAUAAUAUUUCAUUAUGUCCAAUAACUUGCAUCCUCAAAAAAUUCUAUAUUAUUUGAUUAUUUUUAGGGGAUGAAAUUUAUAUGCAAGAUAAACUUAAAAUCAAUUGAUAUCUUCUAUGAUUGGUGGUAUAAAGCAUGUUAUAAUUGUAGAGCUAUAAUAAAUAUUUAUGCUGAUAAUUUUUGGUACAAUCAAUACAAUAACAAUAAUUAGCUUUACUACAUACCAUAUUUUCGAAAAACUUAUUUUGUCUUUGAGAAGAAGUGAUCUAAUCUAGCUUCACAAAUGAUUGUUUGGCUAAAUUGAUGGAAUAAAUAGGUUAAGAAACUUUCAUUACAACCUAACGCUGGAAUGCAACCUAAAGGUAUCUAUCACUUGCUAUAAGUAGAGGGAUGGAUGAAGGCAAGACAUAAUAUCUGUUAGCUAUAUUUUAUCUCUUAAGUCAUCUUUUUCCUAUUUGAGUAUUGCUAAACAAGUCCUAUUAGAGUUCGAGAUGGAUUGGAUAUUCGAAAAAAUCCAUCCGACUAUUAUUCCUAAGCUCACUGUAACAUUAGAUGUGGGAUUGGCUCAUUGCAUUUUCAGACCAAUGCGUUGUAUUUUAACAUGAUUUUUUUUUGUAUUUUUAUAUCAAUUUUAAGCAUUUAUGUCCAAACGUAUAAAAUGUCUAGAUUUAUUAUAUACAGGUGAAAAAAAUUAGAAGAUUAAAAAAGUUGAUUGUAUUAAUUAGAUGACACUAAUUCAUAAAAAAGUAUUUUUUUUAGUUUUUAAGAUUAAUUUUAGGAUUCCAUAUUUAAAUAUGUUAUAUAUGGUUCAAAAAAUAUCCAAAGAUCAAUAUAAAUAAAGUUGAUGGUUUUGGUUGUAUGAAAUUAUAAUAUAUAUACAUAUAUUUAAUUGGUUUACAAAAUUGAUAAUUAGAAAAAUAAAUUUAAAAUUAUGGAUUAUUGAUUGAUUUUAAGAUUUAAUAUAUAAUAUUUAAAUAUUUAAUAUUUAAUAUUAUGAUUUAUUUCUUCAAUAAUUUUGAUCCAUAUUUUGUUAUGGAACUCAAUUCAGUAAUAUUCUAAUAAAAUUUUUUGAUAUUUAUAUUUUCAGUUUAAAUGAAGAGGUUAUGGUAGCUGAAGAUUAGCAUGUACGUAAGUUCAUCAGUUAAUAAAAAUACUAGAUAUUAUAUUGUAUAAAACAGAGGCCUCUCAUGGAGAGGCCUCCAUUUGAUGUGUGGGGUCUUGGGAAAGGAGAGAGGCAGCUACGUGGCCUAAGGGAGAGUGAAAAAAAGCGCUCUGACUCGCCAACACACUGAGGAGAGAUCUGCGGCACGAAUCGCAAAGCAACAGGAAAAAAUUUUAAAAAAGGAUUUUUAAACCCACACAUGAGGUGGGGCGGAGGAAGAUUGGGAGUUUUCCUCUUCUCCAUUUUCGGCUAGGAAAAGAGAUCCUAGGGCAGCAAAAUCCUAGGAUCCUGUGUCUAUGAAACAUGUUUUUUCCCUCGUCGCCCUACCUCGAAACUCUGUCUGUCGCCGGCGACAGUUCUUCUAUUAUUUGGAUUUUCCAUUGAGCAUUCGUCGGUGAUUCACUGUUGAUUCCUUUUUCUAGGGAUUUAUCUUUUUCUCUCUUAUGUAUGCCUUUCUCUUUUUCUAUCUAAAUUAGUGAAAGAUCGUUCAGACUUUGAUUCCAAUUUUUUAAUUGAUGUAAUGAAUUUUCCUCUUGGGCUUGGAUCAUUUCUUUGGACAAAGUUCUCAUGUUCUACACACACACACACACACCAAAAAAAAAGAAGAUUUUUACCUAAUAUCAAAAUUUUUUGGUUUGAUUAUUUCUUUGCUGGUGUUGUUAUUUAGGAGCCUUUCUCUAUUUUUAAUUAAGGCUUUGUUUGGUUGCCGAGAAAAUGAAAGAAGCAGAUACAUCACCGGAAGAAAGUAAUAGAAAAGACAAGAAAGUUGAGUUUUUUUUCAGUUGAUUGAAGCCUUCGAUUUGUUCUUUAUAUGAUUUCCUUUUUAAUACCAUACAACAGAAAAGACGAUGCUUCCCAGCGUAUUUUCUUUUCUUUCACUUUGGCAGCAAACAAAUAGAGCCUCGCUGUCAGCAGUGGUUUAAGAAAACUAAAUGGGUAGACAAAAGAAAGAUAAAUUCGAGUUAUUCUUAGAUUAUAAUUAGCAAAUUGCUAUGGUUUACUCCUCUUAGUAUUUUUUCUGUUUAUGUGUAUCAAGUGGAUUAAAAACAUUUGGCCAAGAACAGCACACCUGGGAUUGCAUUUCAGGAGUAAAAUCUUCUCCAUCAAAAGUAGCCAAUUUUGACAUUCAACUGCUUUAGAAUAUUUGAAUUUAUUCAAACUGUUGUGUUCAAUAUCUAUUCCUAUGGCAAAUGACGAGUUCACUAUGUUUACCUUUUGGGCAUGAAGGAAAAUGACCACUCAAAUGCAGAGGAGAGGAGUUGUCCAACCUUGGGAAGUGGGUCAACCCCUUCCCCUGUUUUCCAUGGAAAAAGAGAUGAGAAAAAAACGAGGAGAAAAAGAAAAAGAAGAGAAAAGAACAAAAGAAAAAAGAAAAGAAAAUAAAGGGAAAAAAAAGAGGAGAUGGUUUUUCUCUCUCUUCCCUUUCUUCUCUUGAAAAAAAAGAAAAGAAAAUAAGUGGAAAAAAAAGGAGAGAGGGUUUUCCUCUCUCUUCUCUCUCUCCUCUCAGUACCUUCUCUCUCCAUUUCCUCUCUUGAAUUUAAAGAAAAGGAAACAAAGAAAGAAAAUAAAAGGAAUUGUUAUUUUUUUUCUCAUCUUCUUUUUUAGGAUAUUUUCUAAACUUAAUUUAUAGUGUUGUC